UCCCGGGUCGUCUAGCUAGGCAGGACAACCGGUUUUGGUCCGGUCAACAGAGGUUCAAAUCCUCUCCCGGGAG
rnacentral:tRNA from 1 species